rnacentral:rRNA from 1 species
AUGGGCAAAGAUGAUAUUCUUGGUGGUCAUAUGGAAGCGAUCGAUUAUGAGGCUGCAUUGCUUGUCCAAAGAGAGCACGUGGUGCAGGUGCCUUUCUCUCUUGAGGACCCGGAUUACAAGGGUCUUGAGCUAGAUCUGAUAGUGUUGUGCGAGAAGCAUGGGAAGCCAUCAGAGAGGCUUGUUGCAUUUGAAGGAACAAUGACUGGGAGAAGGUUCUUAGCAUGUGCAGAGCCGGAAGGUCAGAACUGUGGGUUUGUUCAGUGGGUUGAUGAGCAGUGGCCCCCAACAAUGGAGAAUGCAUUGCUGAAGCUUUGGUCAGUGGUUGAAGAGAGCAAGUCUGCUAGGGUGAAUGAUAAUCUUAAAAGUGCUUUAACUAUUCACCAUUUGACAGAAGAAAAGAAGAAGCUGGAUGCAGAUUAUGACAAGUUAGUGAAAGAUGUGCAUCAACUUGUGAACUUUCAGCAGGAUAGGGUUGUGGAUUUCAGUUAUCUGCAGUCAGCUGUCACAUAUCAGCACCAAUGCAGAGCUGAAUUGGUGGCUGGUAUGAAGGCAGAAAUGGCAAAGAAAGAUGCAGCUACAGAGAAGUUUCAACAGAAGUAUGAAAUCCUGUGCAACCUGACAAGUGCUCAAGCAAUUGCCAUCCAAAACCUCAAGUUGAAGAAUAUGAAAGAGAAGGAAUUGAUGAGUGAGGCUAUGAUGAAUUUGGAGUUGAAGAAUGCAGAGUUCACAAGUUUGAGGAGAAGCUCACCCAAGAGAAGCUAG